UGUAAGCGUAUACCAAAGUUGUUGCAGUUAAAACGCUCGUAGUCGGAAUUUGGCAGUUCCGGAUGUGUGCACGUCGUGUGCGCACUUCGCGGGGAUUGCUUUUGUGGUCUUGCGAAGGAUGAGGCACUUUUAUUAGUGAACGUCCUCACGCAACCACUUUUUACUGUGAGAAAAUCAGAGUGCUCAAAGCAGGCAUUUGCCGUGAAUGUAUUAGCAUGGAAUAAUAGAAUAGGACUUGGUUCUAUUUUGUUGGUUUGUUGGGACUGAGUAAUGAUUAAGAGGGACAGUUGGGGGCAUUUGUAUUUCGGUGCUAGAGGUGAAAUUCUUAGAUUACCGAAAGACAAACUGCUGCGAAAGCGUCUGCCAAGGAUGUUUUCAUUGA
rnacentral:rRNA from 1 species